UGAACGCUGGCGGCGUGCCUAAUACAUGCAAGUCGAACGAGUUCUGAUUAUUGAAAGGUGCUUGCAUCUUGAUUUAAUUUUGAACGAGUGGCGGACGGGUGAGUAACACGUGGGUAACCUGCCCUUAAGUGGGGGAUAACAUUUGGAAACAGAUGCUAAUACCGCAUAAAUCCAAGAACCGCAUGGUUCUUGGCUGAAAGAUGGCGUAAGCUAUCGCUUUUGGAUGGACCCGCGGCGUAUUAGCUAGUUGGUGAGGUAACGGCUCACCAAGGCAAUGAUACGUAGCCGAACUGAGAGGUUGAUCGGCCACAUUGGGACUGAGACACGGCCCAAACUCUACGGGAGGCAGCAGUAGGGAAUCUUCCACAAUGGACGCAAGUCUGAUGGAGCAACGCCGCGUGAGUGAAGAAGGCUUUCGGGUCGUAAAACUCUGUUGUUGGAGAAGAAUGGUCGGCAGAGUAACUGUUGUCGGCGUGACGGUAUCCAACCAGAAAGCCACGGCUAACUACGUGCCAGCAGCCGCGGUAAUACGUAGGUGGCAAGCGUUAUCCGGAUUUAUUGGGCGUAAAGCGAGCGCAGGCGGUUUUUUAAGUCUGAUGUGAAAGCCCUCGGCUUAACCGAGGAAGUGCAUCGGAAACUGGGAAACUUGAGUGCAGAAGAGGACAGUGGAACUCCAUGUGUAGCGGUGAAAUGCGUAGAUAUAUGGAAGAACACCAGUGGCGAAGGCGGCUGUCUGGUCUGUAACUGACGCUGAGGCUCGAAAGCAUGGGUAGCGAACAGGAUUAGAUACCCUGGUAGUCCAUGCCGUAAACGAUGAAUGCUAGGUGUUGGAGGGUUUCCGCCCUUCAGUGCCGCAGCUAACGCAUUAAGCAUUCCGCCUGGGGAGUACGACCGCAAGGUUGAAACUCAAAGGAAUUGACGGGGGCCCGCACAAGCGGUGGAGCAUGUGGUUUAAUUCGAAGCAACGCGAAGAACCUUACCAGGUCUUGACAUCUUUUGAUCACCUGAGAGAUCAGGUUUCCCCUUCGGGGGCAAAAUGACAGGUGGUGCAUGGUUGUCGUCAGCUCGUGUCGUGAGAUGUUGGGUUAAGUCCCGCAACGAGCGCAACCCUUAUGACUAGUUGCCAGCAUUUAGUUGGGCACUCUAGUAAGACUGCCGGUGACAAACCGGAGGAAGGUGGGGAUGACGUCAAAUCAUCAUGCCCCUUAUGACCUGGGCUACACACGUGCUACAAUGGAUGGUACAACGAGUUGCGAGACCGCGAGGUCAAGCUAAUCUCUUAAAGCCAUUCUCAGUUCGGACUGUAGGCUGCAACUCGCCUACACGAAGUCGGAAUCGCUAGUAAUCGCGGAUCAGCACGCCGCGGUGAAUACGUUCCCGGGCCUUGUACACACCGCCCGUCACACCAUGAGAGUUUGUAACACCCGAAGCCGGUGGCGUAACCCUUUUAGGGAGCGAGCCGUCUAAGGUGGGACAAAUGAUUAGGGUGAAGUCGUAACAAGGUAGCCGUAGGAGAACCUGCGGCUGGAUCACCUCCUUA
rnacentral:rRNA from 2 species